rnacentral:rRNA from 1 species
GAAUUCGCCCUUAGAGUUUGAUCCUGGUGUCAGGAUGAACGCUAGCUACAGGCUUAACACAUGCAAGUCGAGGGGAAACGACAUCGAAAGCUUGCUUUUGAUGGGCGUCGACCGGCGCACGGGUGAGUAACGCGUAUCCAACCUGCCCAUCACUUGGGGAUAACCUUGCGAAAGUAAGACUAAUACCCAAUGAUAUCUCUAGAAGACAUCUGAAAGAGAUUAAAGAUUUAUCGGUGAUGGAUGGGGAUGCGUCUGAUUAGCUUGUUGGCGGGGUAACGGCCCACCAAGGCGACGAUCAGUAGGGGUUCUGAGAGGAAGGUCCCCCACAUUGGAACUGAGACACGGUCCAAACUCCUACGGGGGGCAGCAGUGAGGAAUAUUGGUCAAUGGGCGAGAGCCUGAACCAGCCAAGUAGCGUGCAGGAUGACGGCCCUAUGGGUUGUAAACUGCUUUUAUAAGGGAAUAAAGUGAGUCUCGUGAGACUUUUUGCAUGUACCUUAUGAAUAAGGACCGGCUAAUUCUGUGCCAGCAGCCGCGGUAAUACGGAAGGUCCGGGCGUUAUCCGGAUUUAUUGGGUUUAAAGGGAGCGUAGGCCGGAGAUUAAGCGUGUUGUGAAAUGUAGACGCUCAACGUCUGCACUGCAGCGCGAACUGGUUUCCUUGAGUACGCACAAAGUGGGCGGAAUUCGUGGUGUAGCGGUGAAAUGCUUAGAUAUCACGAAGAACUCCGAUUGCGAAGGCAGCUCACUGGAGCGCAACUGACGCUGAAGCUCGAAAGUGCGGGUAUCGAACAGGAUUAGAUACCCUGGUAGUCCGCACGGUAAACGAUGGAUGCCCGCUGUUGGUCUGAAUAGGUCAGCGGCCAAGCGAAAGCAUUAAGCAUCCCACCUGGGGAGUACGCCGGCAACGGUGAAAC